AGGUGAGUAAGAGUGAGCUGUCUGUCUUAAGAAAACCUAGAUAUAACCCAGAGGGACCCCCAACACCACUGGUGAACUCCUUCCAGUGAGGAACUUGGGAUGCUGCUGAUAAGCUGCCAUACCCCUCUGCUGCUUCAGCAUGAUGAAGACUGAUGCUGAUGCUCUUGCCUGUCAGGAACCAGACAGAUGUUGAAAGACUGAAUAUAACUCCAGAGAAAAAAAGAAUACUGGGAAGAUUGUAUAUGGCAUGUGAGUGAUAUGAAAAGUAAGAGCUGCUUGUUUCUGCUCCAGUGAGGGUAAUAGUGAACUUUACCUCUCAGUUCAGUGAGUUCAAGACCACACUGUAGAUGCGGGAUAGAUGAAGAGUAGGGGAAGAGGAGAAGACCAUUCGCAAAGGUGCUCAAAUUCUGAGUGGGCACAGCUUAUGUGGCAAACCUGGGCAGCAGAGAGAACAAGAUGCAAGCGUUGGGCCAUCUGAGCCUGAGAAAAGCAAAAAGGGGUCUCUAAUACCUGAAUCUAGAAGUCAGUCCAGAGGACCUGUUGUAAUAAAAAGCCAUCCACAAAACUCUGCUAUGAAAGAAUCACAGUUUCACAAAGGGGUGAGUUUGACCUCUUCUAAUUUUUGUACUCAUUAACAUUUCACAAGCAAGUUGGUGGAAGUGCUGGCCAGUUCUCCUACAGCAGC
rnacentral:lncRNA from 1 species